CUUCAAUCCAGUCAACUACUGUGUCUUCAGAGAGUCGAGGUGACAUUCAGGUCAUCAUUACUGUGGUCGUCUGUGUAGCUGUGCUGCUGCUGCUGUUUGUCCUGAUUUUGAUCCCAAUCUACAAACGAUUUUCACGUUCAAAGAGCACAAGAAAUGGAGCAGCAGCACAGCUGCAAGAGGAUCAUGUCUAUGAGGAGAUACAGCAGCACAUCCAGACACCAGACUCAGGAAAUAAGAUAGACACGAUUUAUGCCACUGCCAACUUUCCCACAAACCCGUCUGCUUUGCAGCAUUACUCUACCAUCAACUUCCAAAGCAGCUGUGACAGAGUUGGUGGUGAGGCAGUGAUCCUCAAACCCAGCUCUGUUGCCUGCAAAUAUUCUAUUGUGAAGUAAAAUCCAGCCUACUGUACUGUCAACCUGCCGUCCGCUCUUCAGAGGAUCCUCUCUACGCAACAAUGAACUAGCCACAGCAGCACUGAUCACGCAAAAAUCAGCCCUGUCAAUUUAUGAUAUUUACUACAUGGUCAAAAUUUCAGGUCAUUCAUUGCUGAUGUGGUUGUUUACAAUGAAUCCAGCUCAGACUUCAGGAACUUCACCAAGAUAUUCAGAUGUUGGACGCUGUCAACUUAAAUCCCAUCAAUCCAGAGACACACGAUUCACUUCAUCAUCCACAUUGUUUGAGUCACCAAGGUGUGAACAGGACUUUUGCACUGAUCUGUAAUUACUAGAGGAGUCUUUCUUGUCUUGCUUCUGAAGCUCAGCUUUAUAUUACAGCUGAUUAUUAUCUCAUUACCUGAUUUAACUUAUCACAGAUACUGUAUAUUGUUGACCUGGUCUGAAUGAGAGUCCUAGAAAUAAAAUAAAUGCUUUCCCUACAAUACUA